rnacentral:rRNA from 1 species
CCUACGGGAGGCUGCAGUGAGGAAUAUUGGUCAAUGGUCGGGAGACUGAACCAGCCAAGCCGCGUGAGGGAUGAAGGUACAGAGUAUCGUAAACCUCUUUUGUCAGGGAACAAAGGCGGGGACGUGUCCCCGGAUGGGUGUACCUGAAGAAAAAGCAUCGGCUAACUCCGUGCCAGCAGCCGCGGUAAUACGGAGGAUACGAGCCUUGUCCGGAUUUAUGGGGUUUAAAGGGGGCGCAGGCGGUUUGGUAAGUCAGCGGUCAAGGCCCGGGGCUCAACCCCGUCCCGCUGUUGAAACUGGCAGUCUCGAGUUGGAGAGAAGGAUGCGGAAUGCGCGGUGUAGCGGUGAAAUGCAUAGAUAUCGCGCAGAACUCCGAUUGCGAAGGCAGCAUGCCGGCUCCACACUGACGCUGAGGCACGAAAGCGUGGGUAUCGAACAGGAUUAGAUACCCGGGUAGUC